GAUACAUGUGCUUCUGAGAGUCAAACUCUGAGCUUCCAAAUCCACAUACCUGAGCACCAAACGCUUUACUCACCACACCGCCUCCUGCACAGUACACUUCUUUGUAUAUGUAAAGACAAAUACAAGGUUAACUUUUUUUUUGCCUCCAGGGUUACUUCGGAAGCUUGGUGCCUGCAUCACGAAUCCACUGUUCCUGGAGACCAUUUUUUUCCUCUUUUGUUGCCUUGUUGUUUUAUCACUAUUGUGGUUAUUAUUGUCGUUGCUGUCGUUGGCUAGGACAGAGAGAAAUCAAGAGAGGAGGGGAAGAUAGAGGGGGAGAGAAAAGAGGAAGACACCUGCAGACCUGCUUCACCGCCUGUGUAGCGACUCCCCUGCAGGUGGAAAGCCGGGGGCUCAAACCAGGAUCCUUACGCCGGUCCUUGCGCUUAACCCACUGCCCUACCGCCUGACUCCCAAGUAUUUUUAUUUUAAUGAGAAAAAGACUAGAGCACUGCUCAGGUGUGGUUUAUAGUGGGUCAGCUUGAACUUGGGAAAUGAGAGCCUCAGGCAUGAGGUUUUUUUUUUUUGCCUCCAGGGUUAUUGCUGGGCUUGGUGCUAGCACUAUGAAUCCACUGCCCCUAGGCCAUUUUUUCUAUUUUAUUGGACAGGACAGAGAGACAUUGAGGAUGGGGAGACAGGUACCUACCUGCAGGCCAGCUUCACUACUUGUGAAGUUUUCCUCCCUACAGUUGGGGGGGGGGGCUCAAACCUAGAUCCUUAUGCUUAGUACUAUGUGCGCUUAAGUGGGUAUGGUUCCGUGAUGAGAGGCUCUUUCAGUAACUAAGAUGCUAUCUUGCCAGUCCUGAGGAUUGACUUUUUUUUUGCCUCCAGGGUUAUCGCUGGGGCUCGGUGCCUGCACCACGAAUGCACUGCUCCUGGAGGCCAUUUUUUUCCCUUUUGUUGCCCUUGUUGUUACUACUAUUGUUGUCGUUGUUGUUGUAUAGGAUAGAGAGAAAUCGAGAGGGGAGGGGAAGACAGGGGGAGAGAAAGAGAGACACCUGCAGACCUGCUUCACCACUUGUGAAUCGACUCCCCUGCAGGUGGGGAUCUGGGGGCUCAAACCUGGAAUCCUUAUGCCAGUCCUUGUGCUUAACCCGCUGCACUACCAUCAGCGACUGGUGAACAUGUCAUGAGCCUUCCCUGCAAACAGCUAUUAAGUAAGGAGCGGUAUCGGGUUGACUGUGUGUUGUGUGAAUUGUGUGACCUUUCUCUGGCAUCUAAAAUAAGUAAAGAAUUAUUGCUUGACCCCGA